GCAUUGGUGACUCAGUGGUAGAAUCCUGACCUUCCGUGUGGGAGACCUAAGUUCGAUUCUCAGCCAGUGCA
rnacentral:tRNA from 1 species